CGUGCAGAAGCCGCCCUCUUGGGCAGGUGUUUGCCCCAGGGAUGUCCCCACAGUGGGUCUGGGGAUCACUGCAGCAUGGGCAGGAAUGAAAGAGGCCGGGGGGGGACAGAGACCCCUCGUGGCUCAGGCCCCUUGUUGGGGCAGGUCCGUUCCAGGACAGACAUGCGAGAUGGCGGAGACCCCGACAGCAAGUCCCCGAAAAUUCAGGAGCCUGAGGGCAGGUCAGGUGUGUCCGCUUCCCCCACAGCCCCUGGAGGGGGGACUUGCAGAGAGGAUGCCGCAGGCGGUGCCCAAAGCUGGGGUCAUCACUGUGGGGGUCAUGGGACUGACCCUGCAGGCCCGGGAGGCUUUGGUUCCUUGGAAACUGUUUAACCCUGUCCUUUCUCCUCUCCCUUGCACCCCAACCCUGUUGUUUUCCACAGCAGGGCUUUCACGUGAGGGGGUGUUUGCUCCGCACGCAACAGAUGGCAGUGCCAGUGGAGGGUGCGCAGGGUCUGGGGUCUCAGGGUGCCUCUGGGUCUGCCCCAACACUGCCACCUGCUGCUGCCGCGCGUCUUCCCUUUCCUUGUCUCCCUCGGCUUUCCCUCCUCUCGCUCCUGGGGUAAUGCCUUUAAGGUCCCUUUUCUCUCUGCUCAUUGGGGGGCCUCGCCCUGGAUUCCCCAGCACGUGCUGAGGACUCCCCACCUGGGUCAACCCUUCCCUUCGGGUUUGUCCUGAAGCACCUCCUGUCUCCCCUUCUGUAUACUCCUCUGGGUCUGCGCCGGGAUCCUGGGAGGAAACGUCAUCUCAUCUACCCUGCGGUUCUCCAUGGAGACCUUCCUGGAAUAAAGGGCAUCAGUGGGAGAAAAUACACUUGAGUACACGUGGACACCUCCUCGCUCACCUGGGGAAGACCCAGGAACACUGAGUGACCCACCAACAUGGUCUCUGCCCCCUGUGCAAUGACAUCUUCAACUCCAGAGAAAGGACAGAGGAUGGGGGUCAGCCCUGGGGGGCAGUGGGAAGCCCAGCUACAAGGGUGCGAGUGGUGCGGUCCUAAGGGGCCGCCUCUCCCUCUGAUAAGGGAUGGAGAGAUUUGGACAAAUCCUUCCAACGUGAGAACCUGGACGCCUCCUCACGGGGAUGUUCUCUUAUUCGUGGAAAUGAGUCUCACAAAAGGGCAACCUCCACCCGCCUGUCGGAGCCCCUCCGUCUGACUCCCAGGAGCGCCCAGUAAAUAGGGGAGGCCGUUGGCCCCUCACCUUCCUGUGCUGGGCCUGUCUGCUCCAGUCCUGCUGUGUGGCUCAGCCUGCUGCCCAGAGAUGGUGUCAUUGGAGGAUGUGGCUGUGAACUUCCCCUGGCAGGAGUGGGAAGACCUGAAUGAUGCUCAGAGGACCCUGUACCGGGAUGUGAUGCUGGAGACCUGCAGUCACCUGGUGUCCCUCUGUGAGGAAGCUCCAGUGUAACACGAGUGCAAGUGCUGUUUUCUACACUGAUUAAGUGUGGUCUUUCUUGUGAAAUUGGGUGGUGGUGAGGUUGAACAUGGCAAACAGACUAGAUUGUGGGUGUUUGCCCUAUU